AGUCAUAUGCUUGUCUCAAAGAUUAAGCCAUGCAUGCCUCAGUGUGAAUUUCUACAUGGUGAAACUGCGAAUGGCUCAUUAAAACAAUUAUAGUUUAUUUGAUGGUCAACUCACUACUUGGAUAACCGUGGUAAUUCUAGAGCUAAUACAUGCGCCCAAGCUCGACUCCGCAGAAGGGCUGUGUUUAUUAGAUACAGAACCAACCCAGGCUCUGCCUGGUCCUUUGGUGAUUCAUAGUAACCGAACGAAUCGCAUGGCGUCAGCCGGCGAUGGAUCAUUCAAGUUUCUGACCUAUCAGCUUCCGACGGUAGGGUAUUGGCCUACCGUGGCCUUGACGGGUAACGGAGAAUUAGGGUUCGAUUCCGGAGAGGGAGCCCGAGAAACGGCUACCACAUCUAAGGAAGGCAGCAGGCGCGUAAAUUACCCAAUCCUGACACAGGGAGGUAGUGACAAGAAAUAACAAUACAGGGCAUCCAUGUCUUGUAAUUGGAAUGAGUAUAAUUUAAAUCUCUCUACGAGUAUCAAU
rnacentral:rRNA from 1 species